GGGAGAGCGCGAACGCAGUCCCCCACUACCACAAAUUAUGCAGUCGAGUUUCCCGCAUUUGGGGAAAUCGCAGGGGUCAGCACAUCCGGAGUGCAAUGGAUAAGCCUCGCCCUGGGAAAACCACCUUCGUGAUCAUGGUAUCUCCCCUGCCAGGUAAGUAUGAGUUGCUCCUCCCACGGCCGCGCCUUCCCUCACCACACACGCACUUAUAACCGACGGUCACCGCCCUCGCCACGCCGCCUCGCCGUCCUCUCAUGCCCCCCUCCGAGCUCCUCACGGACAUUCCCAGUCCGCCCCACGCGGGACGGUCACCGCGCGGGACGCGCCUCGCCGACACCGCAGGACCGGCAGCCACUGCGCCACAGCUCAUCUGCAUACGCCCCGCCCUCCCCCGCGCUCAGAGGCUCCGCCCAGAGCUUCCGCCCAGUCUGCACCCAACGCUAGGACGCGCCCAGAGGGGUUCUCGCCCUGGACCUGCACGGGGACUGCGCAGACGGCCACACCUCCAGACCUUUACACACCAUCCGCCGUCCGCGGGCACCGUCUCGGGAUGACACGCUGGGGUAUCGAGGCAGUGUUGACGUGAGCCUGUCGUUCCAGCACUAGGACCAAGGGUUCAAAACCAUCCCCGGCCAGAUACAUGGUUUCCCCGGUGCUCAACAUUUUUUUUUUUGGAAUAGAUCAUUGCUGCCAGGAGCAGUCGUGUUUCAAGGCAAAACCCUAAGUUAAUUAAAUGCCAUGUUCUACAGUG